rnacentral:rRNA from 1 species
GACGAACGCUGGCGGCGUGCUUAACACAUGCAAGUCGAGCGGAAAGGCCCUUCGGGGUACUCGAGCGGCGAACGGGUGAGUAACACGUGAGUAAUCUGCCCUUCAAUCUGGGAUAGCCACCGGAAACGGUGAUUAAUACCGGAUACGACCAAUCCCUGCAUGGGGUGUUGGUGGAAACUUUUUUGGGUGGGGGAUGUGCUCGCGGCCUAUCAGCUUGUUGGUGGGGUAAUGGCCUACCAAGGCUUCGACGGGUAGCCGGCCUGAGAGGGUGACCGGCCACACUGGGACUGAGACACGGCCCAGACUCCUACGGGAGGCAGCAGUGGGGAAUAUUGGACAAUGGGCGGAAGCCUGAUCCAGCAACGCCGCGUGAGGGAUGACGGCCUUCGGGUUGUAAACCUCUUUCAGCACCGACGAAGCGCAAGUGACGGUAGGUGCAGAAGAAGGACCGGCCAACUACGUGCCAGCAGCCGCCGUAACAC